rnacentral:tRNA from 3 species
GCAGGCGUAGUUCAAUGGUAGAACGAGAGCUUCCCAAGCUCUAUACGAGGGUUCGAUUCCCUUCGCCCGCUCCA